ensembl:lncRNA
CCAGAAUGUUGCGCUCAACUCCCUGAGCUGUUUAGGCUGGGAUUACGCCUGAUCUCAGAUCAGCGAAUGACUGGGUAGCUCCUUCAUCUUCCCUGUGCUCUGCAUCUGCUCUGAGGUGGGAGUCGACGAGAGGAAGCCAUCUCAGCAGCUCCAGCCCCUGGUGCCCCUGCAGUAGUGGGAGUUCUAGGAUCAUCAAGAAGAAGUCAAGACACAUUCAGUCUGGAUAAGCCAUUUGCUUUUCCUGAGCAGCCUCAUCUCCUCGGACCUAAUCUGAACAGAACAAAUAAACCUGCCAUCAACUCCGGCGCUGACUGCAAGAACACAGAGCUUGAUGAAGCCACCCAGGGCGAAUCUGUCAGCACUGCGAGGAAACAGGGGGAUUACAACGUCAGGAAUCUGUUUAUAAUACUAACAUACGCAUAAAGAACAAUAAAUCCUUGAUGAAAUAAGGGUCUCUUCAACAGUGACAUUCAGCAAAGUCUGGACGACCUUUCAACUGAAUUGUGGUUUCUUGCCCUAAAGAAAUUACAGGAAGCUACCAAACGCUGCCCUUCUUUUCAGGCAUUGUUGAAACAUUUCAAGCGAGGGGCGUGCACGUGUCUUUCGAGAGCCACAGCCAGCCUCCUGGACGUUGUGCUACACUAAAAGGGGUGGGAGAAGAAAGAGAGGAAGAGAAAUGUCUGGAUCACUGAAGGAAAACAGACCCGAACAGAACAGUGGAUGGUGUUUCAGCCUGUGGCGGAUCUGAUCGCAAUUGUGAAAUAUUCUUGGCUCUCGUCCAUGGGAACCGAUCCAGGGUGCAUCAGAGAAAGAAAGAGAGGGAGUCUCACAGGACGGUCCAGAUAGAGCUUGAGUAAUAUUGUGGGGAGUAGAAAGCAAAGUGAAAGCGUGGCUUUUCAACACUUCUCUGUCUCCUCAGACGGAUUACUCCAGAGAGAAACCUGCUGGCAGAUGGAGAACUGAAGCCACACCUUUUGAUCCUUCCUGUGGGUCUUGAGGACAGGACAAAGUCCGAAGAGCUGAAAACCCCCUCCCUUGUGGGCCACCUUCAAUCAAACACAAGCGGUCAAGCCUAGGCAAGCAGGCAAACGGGACUCCUCAGACCUCUUUGCUUUUAAACACUUAAAACUGCCCGUGCUGAACACCGUCAG